GUAAGGGAGGCCGAGCGAGCCGAGCCGGGAGAGCUUGCCACGCACGCCGGCCCGGCGGCCCCUCCUCCCCGCCGCCACGACCCCGGAGAGGGAGGGCCGGGCGGGGUCUACGGGGGCCGGGAAGCCGGCGCGGGGGUGGCUGGGCGCGGGGCGGGGUCCCGGCGGGGUCUGCGGAGGCCGGGGUGGGCACCGAGGUGGCCGCGAGGGGAGGGGAGAAGAGCGGAGCGGAGGGGAGGGGACGCGGCCGAGGUGGGGCUGGCGGCCCGGCGGGUUCCACGCAGGCUGGGGGCGGAGGGCCAGAUCGACCCCAGCCGGGGCGGCCGAGCAGGGUCCACGGGGGUCGGGGAUGGGCGGCCAGGCGGGGUCGGAGGGACGAAAGCCGGGGUGAACCUGCGCCGCGGGCCAAGCGCGACCCCCUCCCUUCCCGACCUGUGCGGAGAGGAGAGAAAUGAAGGGGGGCGCCCAAGGAGCCCUGGCCCCGGGAGUGGGAGUCAGCGGGUGGGAACAGAUCGCCCUUCCUUUCCGCUGGGAAUUGGGGGACUCCCCCUGCUUUCACUCUCCCAGCCCGCCAUGGGGUUGGGCCUUGUCCUUUGCCUUGGGUUUGAAGGCGGAGACAAAAAAGGCUGUCCAAAAUCCAGCCAGCUUGGGAGGCAUGGUUGAUGCGAGUUAGCAAAGAUUCUCGACUGUGGUGUUGCUAAAAGCCUCCAGUGAAUGAAUGAACACUUGUGUGCCUGCCCUCAAGGAGCCUGCACUACACUUGGAGAUAUAUACAGAAACCUGUUGAGGGCUAACUUAGGUUGGCAAGGCCCCCAGUGGCCAAGGCAUGAGCCUGGAUGCCCUGCAAAUUGAGUACGUGUUAGGGAUGGGGGCCAUUCUUUAUAGUUUGACUCUGGAGAGCUAGGACCACCUUUCCCAGCCUCAGGGGUGCACAUCCUCAGGAGCUGCCUACCUCCAGAUAUUCACUUCGGGACGCUGAGAGAGGUGGAUCACCUGAGGUCAGGAGUUCGAGAUCAGCCUGGCCAACAUGGAGAAACCCCGCCUCUACUAAAAAUACAAAACAUUAGCUGGGUGUGGUGGCACACACCUGUAAUUCCAGCUACUCGGGAGGCAGAAGCAGGAGAAUCGCUUGAAUCCAGGAGGCGGAGGUUGCAGUAAGCCGAGAUCACGCCACUACACUCCAGCUUACACUGGACAUGAUGAGGAGGAGGAGGAUGAUGGUGGUGAUUAUGAUAGAAAUGGUGAUGGUGAUGAUGACAAUGGUGAUAGUAGGGAUGGUCUUGCUCUGUCGCAAUCAAUAAAUGAAUGCAUAAACACAUUUCUACUUGUUUUUGCAGUCCUAAGAUAAGUGCUCAGUAGCAUCCCUGCCCUUCUAAUGUGAACUUGAGGGAUGGGUAAGACCCAGAGAUGGCAUGGGGGACGGGAUAAGGAAGGCCUACUGUUCAUAUUGUGAACAUGAAAUGGUUUUACAUUUUGAUGCCACUUCAUUAAAUUGACUGUAUGAUAUGAGCUAACGCUACACCCUCCUUUAAAUUUUGGCUAACACAUCCAUAUCCUCAGGUGGUAUCAGUUGAUAAUGCCCAUGAAAAUAUUUUGUAAACUACAGGGUGCUAAACAAUUAUUUACUUGUAUCCCUUUCUGUGGGGCACAGUUUGAUGCUAUACACAAAGCAGUGAAGUCUCGACAAGAAUGAUGACCACUACAAUGAGCACAAAAUAAAGUCUUUUUGGGGUUUUU
rnacentral:lncRNA from 1 species